rnacentral:misc_RNA from 1 species
AAAGCCAGAAAGGGCCUACAUAGACAGUUUAAACUUAGAGAGGCAAAGAGACACCAUAGGAAUUUUAGCAGGCAAGUUUCGCUAGAGACAGGCUUUAAUGCUCUCAAUAGAGAAUGUAAGGCUAAAUAUGAGACGAGGGCUCUUCCAAGAAGUGGACGUAGUUUUGGAGGAUUUGAUUCAAUUGAUAGGAUUAACAUUGGAGAAACAAGGAAAGGAGAUUUUAGCAUCUUCAAGACCAAAGCGACUCUGAGUAAGCAGAAUUCUUUGAUGCCCGGAAGAAAGGAGAAAGAUAUCGAGUCUCAGAGACUUGAUGGUUCUAAUGGGCAUGAUGACUCUGUAAAUGAAGGAGUUCCUGCUGGGAGAUACUUUGCUGCUCUUAGAGGACCAGAGCUUGACCAGAUCAAGGAUCAUGAAGACAUUCUCCUUCCAAAAGAUGAGAAAUGGCCUUUUCUUCUUCGAUUCCCAAUCGGUUGCUUUGGUAUUUGUCUUGGCCUAAGUAGCCAAGCUGUCUUAUGGCGUGCCCUUGCAACAAGCCCUGCUACUAAAUUUCUCCACAUUACACCAUUCAUCAACCUUGCUCUCUGGCUCUUAGCUGUUGCUGUCCUAUUCUCAAUUUCCUUCACCUACAUCCUCAAAUGCAUGUUCUAUUUUGAAGCUGUCAGAAGAGAGUAUUUUCACCCAGUUCGUGUCAACUUCUUCUUUGCCCCGUGGGUUGUGUGCAUGUUCCUGGCUAUCAGUGCACCUCCUAUGCUAGCUCCUGAAAAUUUGCACCCUGCCCUUUGGUGCACCUUCAUGGGACCAUAUUUCCUCCUCGAGCUCAAGAUUUAUGGCCAAUGGCUUUCCGGUGGAAAGAGACGUCUUUGCAAGGUAGCUAAUCCAUCUUCCCAUCUUUCUGUGGUUGGAAAUUUUGUUGGGGCAAUUUUAGCUGCUAAAGUAGGAUGGAUUGAAGCGGCUAAGUUCUUGUGGGCAAUUGGCUUUGCACAUUAUCUUGUGGUGUUUGUGACUUUGUAUCAGAGAUUGCCCACAAGCGAAGCAUUGCCUAAAGAGCUGCAUCCUGUGUAUUCUAUGUUCAUUGCAGCCCCAUCAGCAGCAAGUAUUGCCUGGGAAUCUAUUUAUGGUGAGUUUGAUGGAUUGUCAAGGACUUGCUACUUCAUUGCAUUGUUUCUCUAUAUUUCCCUGGUUGUGCGUAUCAACUUCUUCACAGGAUUCAGGUUCUCGGUGGCAUGGUGGUCUUACACAUUCCCCAUGACAACAGUAUCAGUUGCAACAAUCAAGUACGCAGAGCAGGUUCCUGCAGUUCUAAGCAAGGUGCUUGCACUUUCGCUUUCUUUCAUGUCAUCAACAAUGGUGUCUCUACUGUUUGUGUCGACCCUUCUCCAUGCCUUCUUUUGGCGCACAUUGUUCCCCAAUGACCUUGCCAUUGCCAUAACAAAGAAAAGACUCGUCAAGGAGAGGAAACCCUUGAAGAAAGUUUACGAUAUAAGGCGUUGGACAAGGCAAGCUCCUAACAAGCACAAUCAAGUAAACAAGAACAAUCAAGUAAACAAGAAUUUUUGUGGAGAGAACGAUGGGUUACAGACCCCACAGUAAUCUCAUGAUAUGGAAUUAACUCUAUCGCAUAGCAAUAGCAUGUACUUGUAAUUGUAAUCAAGAAAUGAUGCAACGAGAAUACGUUAUAUACCAUAACUAUGAAAACUAUAGAAAUUUUAUAUUAUUUUGUUUGACAAUAUGAUAUUCCAUAUUUAUCCUCUAUCACAUUCUGUUCUUCUCGCCGAAGGUCCAAG